AUUGAACGCUGGCGGCAGGCCUAACACAUGCAAGUCGAGCGGUAGAGAGGUGCUUGCAUCUCUUGAGAGCGGCGGACGGGUGAGUAAUGCCUAGGAAUCUGCCUAGUGGUGGGGGAUAACGUUCGGAAACGGACGCUAAUACCGCAUACGUCCUACGGGAGAAAGCGGGGGAUCUUCGGACCUCGCGCCAUUAGAUGAGCCUAGGUCGGAUUAGCUAGUUGGUGAGGUAAUGGCUCACCAAGGCGACGAUCCGUAACUGGUCUGAGAGGAUGACCAGUCACACUGGAACUGAGACACGGUCCAGACUCCUACGGGAGGCAGCAGUGGGGGAAUAUUGGACAAUGGGCGAAAGACCUGAUCCAGCCAUGCCGCGUGUGUGAAGAAGGUCUUCGGAUUGUAAAGCACUUAAGUUGGGAGGAGGGUAGUAACCUAAUACGUUGCUACUUUGACGUUACCGACAGAAUAAGCACCGGCUAACUUCGUGCCAGCAGCC
rnacentral:rRNA from 1 species